rnacentral:lncRNA from 1 species
CCCCACGGCUGUUGUCACCCUCCCCGCGGCCCUUUGUCACCUCCCCGGGGCGGUCGCUGCCGUGGCGCAGUCGCUGCUGUUGGCGUCGGCACCCCCAGGGCCACCGUUAGCGCCUCACGGGUGUUGUUGUCACCCCGCAGUGGCUGUUGUCACCUUUGCACAGCUGUUGUCACCUUCCCACACCUGUUGUCACCCUGCCCGGGGCCCUUCGUCACCUCCCCGGGGCGGUUGCUGCCGUGGCGCGGUCACUACCGUUGGCGUCGGCGCCCCCAGGGCCGCUGUUAGUGCCUCACGGGUGUUGUUGUCACCCCCCGGUGGUUGUUGUCACCUCCCCACGGCUGUUGUCACCCUCCCCGGUGCCCUUUGUCACCUCCCCAGGUGCUGUUGUCACCCCCCAGUAGCUGUUGUCACCUCCCCGCGGCUGUUGUCACCCCCCCCCGGUGCCCUUUGUUACCUCUCUGCGGCUGUUGUCACCCCCGUCGGUGUUGACACCUGCGUGGCCAUGACGUCACCGCUUUUACCACCCCCCCAGGGGCUGUUGUCACCCCCCCGGUGGCUGUUGUCACCCUCCUGGUGGCCUUUGUC